rnacentral:rRNA from 1 species
AUGAUGGCCUUACUUUUUUAAAACUCUUUCGCCGAGGACGAUAAUGACGGUACUCGGAAAAAUCUCCGGCUAACUUCGUGCCACAGCCGCGGUAAUACUAAGGGGGCUAGCGUUGUUUCAGAUUUACUGGGCGUAAAGCGCGUGUAGGCGGACUUGUAAGUUGGGGGGAAAAAUCCCGAGGCUCAACCUCGGAACUGCCUCCAAAACUACAAGUCUGGAGCAAGAUAGAGGCAAGUGGAAAUUGCGAGUGUAGAGGUGAAACUUCGUAGAUAAUUCGCAGGAACAACCAGUGUGCAGAAGGCGAACUUUGCUGGGAUCUUUGCUGACGCUUGAAUACCCGAAAGCCUUGGGGAGCAAAACAAGGAUUUAAGAUACCCUUGAUUAGUUCCACGCUGUUAAAACGAAUGAG